GACGAACGCUGGCGGCGUGCCUAAUACAUGCAAGUAGAACGCACAGUUUAUACCGUAGCUUGCUACACCAUAGACUGUGAGUUGCGAACGGGUGAGUAACGCGUAGGUAACCUGCCUGGUAGCGGGGGAUAACUAUUGGAAACGAUAGCUAAUACCGCAUAAUAUUAAUUAUUGCAUGAUAAUUAAUUGAAAGGUGCAAUUGCACCACUACCAGAUGGACCUGCGUUGUAUUAGCUAGUAGGUGAGGUAACGGCUCACCUAGGCGACGAUACAUAGCCGACCUGGGAGGGUGAUAGGCCACACUGGGACUGAGACACGGCCCAGACUCCUACGGGAGGCAGCAGUAGGGAAUCUUCGGCAAGGGACGAAAGUCUGACCGAGCAACGCCGCGUGAGUGAAGAAGGUUUUCGGAUCGUAAAGCUCUGUUGUAAGAGAAGAACGGGUGUGAGAGUGGAAAGUUCACACUGUGACGGUAGCUUACCAGAAAGGGACGGCUAACUACGUG
rnacentral:rRNA from 1 species